rnacentral:rRNA from 1 species
AGGUCAUUACAAGUGAGGCUACCGAACGUUGGAAACAGCGGUUAGGAGCUUACACCCACCCGUGUUUACAUACUAUUGUUGCUUUGGCGGGCCGUGGCCUCCACUGCGGGCUCUGCUCGUGUGUGCCCGCCAGAGAACCAAACUCUGAAUGUUAGUGAUGUCUGAGUACUAUCUAAUAGUUAAAACUUUCAACAACGGAUCUCUUGGUUCUGGCAUCGAUGAAGAACGCAGCGAAAUGCGAUAAGUAAUGUGAAUUGCAGAAUUCAGUGAAUCAUCGAAUCUUUGAACGCACAUUGCGCCCUGUGGUAUUCCGCAGGGCAUGCCUGUUCGAGCGUCAUUUAACCACUCACGCCUAGCGUGGUAUUGGGGCACGCGGUCUCCGCGGCCCUCAAAAUGAGUGGCGGCGCCGGUGGGCUCUAAGCGUAGUACAUACUCCCGCUAUAGAGUUCCCCCGGUGGCUCGCCAGAACCCCCAAUUUUUACAGGUUGACCUCGGAUCAGGUAGGGAUACCCGCG